CAGCAUUGCAGCUCCAAGGAACAUCAGCCAUCUAGGAAUGCGGCCCCAAUGGUUCACUUUGUGUUCACUAACACUAUCAAUUGGUCUUGCUCGAUUUGCUCACUCUGGCACGUCGUUUUCGGCGGUGUUUUUCUCGACACUACUCUCUACUACAGUUCCGGUCUGCGGAACGCCAUCUACAAGUUGCAUGGGCCUGAAAGAGAAAUGUAUAGCCAAGAGCCAAUGUUGCGUCCCAUUUGUCUGCAUUCAGCGCAAGUGCCGACGUACAUGGCGACGCUAGGAAAAGAUGCUAGCCAAAUCAAACCAGCAGCGUGCAAUAAAGAUAGCAUGGCAGUCCGCUGCAGUUUGGAACGUCUGGAGAUUUGUCCGCAUAAAUAAGGAAUUGUCUCCCGUAUGGACAUAGGAGGCCCACAGUUAUUCAUACGCAAUA